rnacentral:rRNA from 1 species
UGGAUGAUGUGGAUUAAUUCGAUGCAACGCGUAAAACCUUACUACCCUUGACAUGUCUGGAACCUUGGUGAGAGCCGAGGGUGCCUUCGGGAGCCAGAACACAGGUGCUGCAUGGCUGUCGUCAGCUCGUGUCGUGAGAUGUUGGGUUAAGUCCCGCAACGAGCGCAACCCUUGUCACUAGUUGCCAUCAUUUGGUUGGGCACUCUAGUGAGACUGCCGGUGACAAACCGGAGGAAGGUGGGGAUGACGUCAAGUCCUCAUGGCCCUUAUGGGUAGGGCUUCACACGUCAUACAAUGGUCGGUACAGAGGGUUGCCAAGCCGCGAGGUGGAGCCAAUCCCACAAAGCCGAUCGUAGUCCGGAUUGUUCUCUGCAACUCGAGAGCAUGAAGUCGGAAUCGCUAGUAAUCGCAGGUCAGCAUACUGCGGUGAAUACGUUCCCGGGUCUU